rnacentral:rRNA from 1 species
CCUACUUUGUUCCGCCGUGCGGCCUCUUGGUCCCUGGCCGCGCGUCUGCCCCAGCCAAGUAGCGUGAAGGAUGACUGCCCUAUGGGUUGUAAACUUCUUUUAUAUGGGAAUAAAAUGUUCCACGUGUGGGAUUUUGUAUGUACCAUAUGAAUAAGGAUCGGCUAACUCCGUGCCAGCAGCCGCGGUAAUACGGAGGAUCCGAGCGUUAUCCGGAUUUCUUGGGUUUAAAGGGAGCGUAGGUGGAUUGUUAAGUCAGUUGUGAAAGUUUGCGGCUCAACCGUAAAAUUGCAGUUGAAACUGGCAGUCUUGAGUACAGUAGAGGUGUGCGGAAUUCGUGGUGUAGCGGUGAAAUGCUUAGAUAUCACGAAGAACUCCGAGUGCGAAGGCAGUUCACUGGACUGCAACUGACACUGAGGCACGAAAGUGUGGGUAUCAAACAGGAUUAGAUACCCGUGUAGUC